UUUCCGUAGGUGAACCUGCGGAAGGAUCAUUAUUGUAUAACCGAGGUGCGAGGGCUGUCGCUGACCCGAAAGGUCGUGCACGCCCGAGUGCCCUCACACACAUCCAUCUCACCCCUAUGUGCACCACCGCGUGGGCACUCUUCGGGAUCAUCUCGGAGGGGGGCUCGCGUUUUCACACAAACCCCCCUUUUAAAAGUGUAGAAUGACCACAUUUAUGCAAUCAAUACAACUUUCAACAACGGAUCUCUUGGCUCUC
rnacentral:misc_RNA from 1 species